rnacentral:rRNA from 1 species
CAAUAGCGUAUAUUAACGUUGUUGCAGUUAAGAAGCUCGUAGUUGGAUUUCUGGAGGGAGCGUCGGCCCGUAUUUACGAGUGCGUGACGUCUCUGUCCAUCCUUGCGGGAAGGCACGGCAUUGAUUUGUUGUGUCGGAUCGCAUCAUUUACUGUGAAAAAAUUAGAGUGUUCAAAGCAGGCUUUCGCUUGAAUACAUUAGCAUGGAAUAAUAAGAUAGGACUUUGGUGCUAUUUUGUUGGUUGAGCCUAAAGUAAUGAUUAAUAGGGAUAGUUGGGGGCACCUGUAUUGCGUUGUCAGAGGUGAAAUUCUUGGAUUUACGCAAGACAAACAGCUGCGAAANCGNNNGCCAAGGAUGUUUUCAUNAA